GAAGUCCAACAGCAAACAGCACACCAGGGUUGCGACUGAAAUGAAGAGCAGUUGAUCAUUAUUCACCCUGUAUGAAAAUGAUACGACCUAAAAGUUUAACUGAGUAGUACAGUAUUUUGCCAACCAUGCCUUUGAUAUUUGAAAUUCUGCUAUUGUCUCGUUUUAAAAGUUUUCUAAAGCCGGAGGUGGGUUGCUGGAAAACAAUGCGGUGUUUGCUGCAGGCUGAGAGGAGGACUGCGAUGUACUACCACCACAGCUCUAACAGGGCACAGAAGAGGACCUCAGUAGAAGACUACAGGUUUCUCCAUGGAGCAGCACAGAGGGUGAACAAAGGCAGGUGUCAUGUUACCCAGGUAGCUCCUGGCCAAUAGUGGUGACACCCCAAAUAAAAAAAAAAAGAGUAGGAAGCAUAGAUCAACAGACCUGGCCACC
rnacentral:lncRNA from 1 species